rfam:Fonticula alba strain ATCC 38817 unplaced genomic scaffold supercont2.195, whole genome shotgun sequence.
GCCCGUUUAGCUUAGGGGUAGAGCGUCGCUCUUGUAAAGCGAAGGUCGGGUGUUCGAUUCACUCAAUGGGCA